GAGUUAUGAUCCAAAGUAUUUCCUUGAAUCUCCAUCAGAAGAAUUUGCACAUUCAUCAAUCUCUGAUGUUUUGGGAAAUCGAUUUGACUCGCCACAUCCUUCUUCCAACCAGCUCUUAGCUGGCCAACAUUCUUUUAGCAACUCUUUCAUGCCUGCAAAACAAUGUGAUACUUAUGAAUUCAGUUAUGAAUCUGAAUACUUGGGUGCUGAAGAUCCUGAUGCAACAGAUUACGAUGAGGACGAGGUGAGACUUAAACUCCAAGAACUUGAAAGAGCACUUUUCGAUGAUAACAACAUUGUUGACAAUGAUCUAUUGGAAACUGAGCAUGGAUGGGCUGACUCAACCGAGAAUGUGCUGCUUCAUGACUCACCGAAGGAGUCAUCGUCCUCAGAUUCAAAUCUUAGUAGUAUUAGCUGCAAUAAAGAAAUAUCUGUGACCACUCCUCCAGGCCCCAAGCAGAUGCUUUUUGAUUGUGCAGCUGCAAUUCAAGAUGGUAACUUUGAUGAAGCAUCCACAAUAAUCAAUGAACUGCGCCAGAGAGUCUCAAUCCAGGGAGAGCCUCCCGAAAGGAUUGCUGCGUACAUGGUAGAAGCACUUGUAGCCCGCAUGGCUACCUCUGGCAAAGGUCUUUAUAAAGCCCUGAAAUGCAAAGAGCCCCCAUCUUCAGAUCGGCUUUCUGCAAUGCAAGUCCUUUUUGAGGUAUGUCCAUGCUUCCGGUUUGGAUUUAUGACAGCAAAUGGUGCAAUUCUGGAGGCUUGUAAAGACGAAAAACGAGUUCAUAUUAUAGAUUUUGAUAUUAACCAAGGAAGUCAAUAUUAUACUCUUCUGCAAACUCUGGCUCAGCUGCCUUAUAAGCCCUCCCAUCUGAGGUUAACUGGGGUGGAUGAUCCUGAAUCAGUUCAACGUGCCGUUGGUGGCUUAAAGAUCAUAGGACAGAUGCUUGAAACCCUUGCUGAAGAUCUUAAGAUACCAUUAACAUUUCAUUCAGUCGCUGCAAAGACCGCAGAUAUUGACCCAUCAAUGUUUGACUGCAAGCCUGGGGAAGCUCUUAUUGUGAAUUUUGCUUUCCAGCUUCACCACAUGCCGGAUGAAAGUGUAUCAACUGUAAAUCAACGAGACCAGCUUCUAAGGAUGGUUAAGGGCUUAAAUCCAAAACUUGUUACUCUUGUUGA
rnacentral:lncRNA from 1 species